UUCAAGAGUCAUCUCCUCUGUUUUCUCUCUAGCCUUAAAAUCACCAGCAUGGUGAUGAUCGAUGACUGCGAUUAUGCCUCCAUAGAUUUUGUGCUUACUGUUCACGACGAAGGAGACGAUGAGUAGCAGAAAUAGUCGCACUAUCUAUGUUGGAAAUCUUCCUGGAGAUAUUCUUUUGAGUGAAGUAGAAGAUCUAUUUUACAAGUAUGGACGUAUUGUCAACAUUGAUUUGAAGAAUCCCCCACGCCCACCAGGCUAUGCUUUUGUUGAGUGUGAAGAUAUUCAUGAUGCUGAAGACGCGAUUUAUGGUUGAGAUGGAUAUAAGUUUGACGGAUAUCGAUUACGGUCAACUGUUGACGACAUAGGAGGAAGAGUUGAGAAUAUGCCUUCGUUGUCGAAUGUGGAUCGCCAUCAUUUCAACUUUUGGCUAUAGACCCAGAAUUUCCUAGGUACUCGAUAUCGUUUAUCUCUUUUUCCCAGGUCGAGAUCAAGAUCAGGAUCGCCAGUUUCAUAUCGUCGACAAACCUCCGAGUCGGAGCAGAUCUCGGUUCAAGUACAGAAACAUAUCCAGAUCCCUUUCACCUAAUCAGGUGAGCCCGGUUCGAAGCUAUAGCCGAUCGGUUGAUUCCAGGUACUGAUAUUCAGAAUAGAACAUUGUUGUUGUGAUGGUUCUUGGAUAGGAUAAUAAAGGUUAGGAGAAAA